rnacentral:rRNA from 1 species
AUUGAACGCUGGCGGCAGGCUUAACACAUGCAAGUCGAGCGGGGAGAUGUAGCUUGCUACAUUUCCUAGCGGCGGACGGGUGAGUAAUGCUUAGGAAUCUGCCUAUUAGUGGGGGACAACAUUCCGAAAGGAAUGCUAAUACCGCAUACGCCCUACGGGGAAAGCAGGGGAUUCUUCGGAACCUCGCGCGAUUGGAGCGGCCGAUGUCGGAUUAGCUAGUAGGUGAGGUAAAGGCUCACCUAGGCGACGAUCCGUAGCGGGUCUGAGAGGAUGAUCCGCCACACUGGGACUGAGACACGGCCCAGACUCCUACGGGAGGCAGCAGUGGGGGAAUUUUGGACAAUGGGGGCAACCCCGAUCCAGCCAUGCCGCGUGAGUGAAGAAGGCCUUCGGGUUGUUAAAA